rnacentral:rRNA from 1 species
CACGCCCCAGUGAGAAUGCCCACUUUAAGGAGCAGGUAUCAGGCACGACCCGUCAGCCCAAAACACCUUGCUAUGCCACACCCACAAGGGUAAUCAGCAGUGAUAGAUAUUAAGCAAUGAGCUACACUAACCAUUAAAGCUCGACUUAGUUAUGAUUAAAAGGGCCGGUAAACCUCGUGCCAGCCACCGCGGUUAUACAAGGGGCCCAAAAUAGACAAACCACGGCGUAAAUAGUGGCUAGAAUAUGUUAACAACCAAAAUAUAAACCCUGUCCUAAUAGUAAAAUAUAGGACAAAUGAACCCCCUAAUUUUGUCCAAUAAACAAUUUGACCCCACGAAAACUAAGAAACAAACUAGGAUUAGAUACCCUACUAUGCUUAGUUGUAAAUAAGACAUACAACCACGAAUAUGUCCGCCAGAAAAUUACAAGCGAAAAGCUUAAAACCCAAAGGACUUGGCGGUGCUCCACACCAACUUAGAGGAGCCUGUCCUAUAAUUGAUACUCCACAAUAAACCUCCCCCUCUAUUGCCCCCCCCCAGCCUAUAUACCGCCGUCGUAAAUCUACCCUAUGAAGGACAAACAGUAGGUAUAAUAGCUAAUUAGCUAAAACGUCAGGUCAAGGUGUAGCUCAUAAGAGGGAAGAGAUGGGCUACAUUCUUUAAAAUAAAUCAAACGGCAAAGUACUAUGAAACUAGCACUAUAAGGUGGAUUUAACAGUAAGGUUAACAAGAAAACUAACCUUAAACCAGCCCUGGAG